GGACCGGUGGCCGCGUGGUCCAAGGCGCAGGCCUAGAAAGUGUGUAGGCGGAAGACCGCCUCUAGGGUUCGAAUGCCUGUCUGUUUG
rnacentral:tRNA from 1 species